GUUAGGUUUGAAACUGCGAAUGGCUCAUUAUAUCAGUUAUAGUUUAUUUGGUGAAGUGUACUACUUGGAUAACCGUAGUAAUUCUAGGGCUAAUACAUGAGAAAGUCCUCUGGUGAGGUGUGUUUAUUAGAAUGAAAACCAUAUGCUUCGGCAUGAUAGUGAGUAAUAGUAACCUAUCGUAUCGCAUGCUUAAUGUAGCGAUGAGUCUUUCAAGUUUCUGCCCUAUCAGCUUUCGAUGGUAGUAUAUGGGCCUACCAUG
rnacentral:rRNA from 1 species